GCGCCGGUGGUGUAAUGCGUAACAUUUUUUGUGGAAAGCAGAAAGUGUGGGUUCGAAUCCUGCCUGGCGCA
rnacentral:tRNA from 1 species